rnacentral:rRNA from 1 species
AUGAACGCUAGCUGGAGGCUUAAUACAUGCAAGUCGAGCGGGAUUGGUAGCAAUACCAUGAGAGCGGCGCACGGGUGAGUAACGCGUACACGACCUACCUCUGACAGGGGGAUAGCCCUGGGAAACUGGGAUUAAUACCGCAUAUUAUUCUGAUUAAUAAAGGAUUGGAAUGAAAGUUCAGGCGGUCAGAGAUGGGUGUGCGUCUGAUUAGCUAGUUGGUAGGGUAACGGCCUACCAAGGCGAUGAUCAGUAGGGGGCGUGAGAGCGUGAUCCCCCACACGGGUACUGAGACACGGACCCGACUCCUACGGGAGGCAGCAGUAAGGAAUAUUGGACAAUGGCCGCAAGGCUGAUCCAGCCAUCCAGCGUGCAGGAAGAAGGCCCUAUGGGUUGUAAACUGCUUUUAUCAGGGAAUAAACCUCUGGAUUUACUCCGGAGCUGAAGGUACCUGAAGAAUAAGCACCGGCUAACUCCGU